rnacentral:lncRNA from 1 species
CACAUUCAAUGACAUAGCCGGUAGAGCACGUAACUAGUAUUUGAGUAGGAAAGUUGUGUAUUUAGGCAUCAUGAAAUGACUUUUGAUGAACCAAUGUCCACCAGCAAAUGUCACACCGCACUGCAGAUGCCAAACACUGUUAGCAACUGAUGUGUACUCUCGCAGAAAAGGAUUUCUGGCCAAGGGAAACGAAAUUUCAAAAGCACAGUAAAGCUGAAUUUGAAUGGAAGAGCUGAGCAGAAUCAUCUAGGAC